rnacentral:rRNA from 1 species
UACAGAGGCCUCGAGCGUUAGGCGGAAUCACUGGGCGUAAAGGGUGCGUAGGCGGGUCUUUAAGUCAGGGGUGAAAUCCUGGAGCUCAACUCCAGAACUGCCUUUGAUACUGAGGAUCUUGAGUUCGGGAGAGGUGAGUGGAACUGCGAGUGUAGAGGUGAAAUUCGUAGAUAUUCGCAAGAACACCAGUGGCGAAGGCGGCUCACUGGCCCCGAUACUGACGCUGAGGCACGAAAGCGUGGGGGAGCAAACAGG